rnacentral:rRNA from 1 species
GUGGGGAAUAUUGGACAAUGGGCGAAAGCCUGAUCCAGCCAUGCCGCGUGUGUGAAGAAGGUCUUCGGAUUGUAAAGCACUUUAAGUUGGGAGGAAGGGCAGUAAGUUAAUACCUUGCUGUUUUGACGUUACCGACAGAAUAAGCACCGGCUAACUUCGUGCCAGCAGCCGCGGUAAUACGAAGGGUGCAAGCGUUAAUCGGAAUUACUGGGCGUAAAGCGCGCGUAGGUGGUUUUGUAAGUUGGAGGUGAAAUCCCCGGGCUCAACCUGGGAAGUGCGUCGAAAAGUGCAUGACUAGAGUACGGUAGAGGUUAGUGGAAUUGCCUGUGUAGCGGUGAAAUGCGUAGAUAUAGGAAGGAACCCCAGUGGCGAAGGCGACUACCUGGACUGAUACUGACACUGAGGUGCGAAAGCGUGGGGAGCAAACAGGAUUAGAAACCCCUGUAGUCC